rnacentral:rRNA from 1 species
UACGUAGGGUGCAAGCGUUGUCCGGAAUUAUUGGGCGUAAAGAGCUCGUAGGCGGUUCGUCACGUCGGCUGUGAAAUCCCGAGGCUCAACCUCGGGUCUGCAGUCGAUACGGGCGGACUUGAGUACUGCAGGGGAGACUGGAAUUCCACGUGUAGCGGUGAAAUGCGUAGAGAUGUGGAGGAACACCUAGUGGCGAAGGCGACUCUUUGGCCUGUAACUAACGCUGAGGCGCGAAAGCGUGGGGAGCAAACAGG